UGAUGAUGACAAUGAUGAUGAUGACGAUGAAGAUGAUGAUGAUCAUCAUCAUCUUCAUCGUCAUCAUCAUCAUCAUCU
rnacentral:pre_miRNA from 1 species